CCUACGGGUGGCAGCAGUGAGGAAUAUUGGUCAAUGGCCGAGAGCCUGAACCAGCCAAGUCGCGUGAGGGAUGACGGCCCUACGGGUUGUAAACUUCUUUUGUCUGGGAGCAAAGUGCGGGACGUGUCCCGUUUUGUGGGUACCCUGUGAAAAAGCAUCGGCUAACUCCGUGCCAGCAGCCGCGGUAAUACGGAGGAAGCGAGCGUUAUCCGGAUUUUUUGGGUUUAAAGGGUUGGGAGGGCGUAAAAUAAGUUAGCGGUUAAAUUUUAGGGGCUAAACAUCUUCGUGCCGUUGAAACUGAGUGUCUUGAGUGGGCGAGAAGUAGGCGGAAUGCGUGGUGUAGCGGUGAAAUGCAUAGAUAUCACGCAGAACUCCGAUUGCGAAGGCAGCGUACCGGCGCCCAACUGACGCUGAAGCACGAAAGCGUGGGUAUCGAACAGGAUUAGAUACCCGAGUAGUC
rnacentral:rRNA from 1 species